rnacentral:rRNA from 1 species
UACGGGGGGGGCAAGCGUUGUUCGGAAUUACUGGGCGUAAAGGGCUCGUAGGCGGCCAACUAAGUCGGAUGUGAAAUCCCCAGGCUUAACCUGGGAACUGCAUCCGAUACUGGAUGGCUUGAAUCCGGGAGAGGGAUGCAGAAUUCCAGGUGUAGCGGUGAAAUGCGUAGAUAUCAGGAGGAACACCGGUGGCGAAGGCGGGUCUCUGGGCCGAAACUGACGCUGAGGAGCGAAAGCGUGGGGAGCGAACAGG